rnacentral:misc_RNA from 1 species
UGGUUCUGGCAUNGAUGAAGAACGCAGCGAAAUGCGAUAAGUAAUGUGAAUUGCAGAAUUCAGUGAAUCAUCGAAUCUUUGAACGCACAUUGCGCCCCUUGGCAAUCCGAGGGGCAUACCUGUCCGAGCGUCAUCGCAACCUCUCAAGCCUUCCCUGGCUUGGUGUUGAGCCGCGCGUCUCACCGGGACGGGCUCGAACGGCAGUGGCGGUCCGGCGCGCCUUCAAGUGCAGUACAUCCGUCGUUCGCUUGAGACGGCGCCGCCUGGGUCCGGCCAGAUCAACCCUCGUGCCAUCGUACCGUUUGACCUCGGAUCAGGUAGGAAUACCCGCUGA